rnacentral:lncRNA from 1 species
ACAUAAUGUAGAGAUAGAGAGGAAGAUCUAUCUCACCAUUAUUGAUUUUUUCUUCAGUAAGAUGUUCCGAUGCUAAUGACUGUUCUGGGAUUUCAAAGUAUAAUUAAUAGAUUAGAUUUUAUUUUAAUUUCUUGGAUGAUUUUUUUGUUCUAAUCUUCUACAUAAGAUUCAUGGGAAAAUUCUCAACAGAUCUAUCAUCAAGUUUAUCAUGAGAUGAGAAGUUCACUUCACCGAAGAUGGCCAAAGACAUGAUGCUAAUUAAAUGAUCAUUUCUUGAAAGGCAAUUUAGCAUGCUCAUCUUUAUGUAUAUUUAAGCUAUUCGAGCAUAAAAUGCAAUGUAGUUGUCAAACUUUUAGAGCUAUUCGGCCUACAAAUGGCAUGGUGGUCAAUGCCUCAAGGCAGUGUGUUAUCUUGAGAUCUCGAUCUUCCAUCAAAAACUAGUGAUAGUGGAACGAUAUGAUGUUGUUAGUAAUUAAAUAUCUGAAGUUUUCCUAGAAAAGGCAAACAAGUUGGUCUAUUUUCUUAGCAUGGAUGAAAUGGGCCAUUUUAACUGGACAAUGUAGAGCCGUAAUGGAAUAUAUAAUAGAGCUUUGUAUUUUGUCCAUAGAUGUUAAUCUAUGAUCUUAUACAUGGCAACAUGGUUUCUUUUGUUACUC